rnacentral:rRNA from 1 species
GACGAACGCUGGCGGCGUGCUUAACACAUGCAAGUCGAACGGAAAGGCCCAGCUUGCUGGGUACUCGAGUGGCGAACGGGUGAGUAACACGUGGGUGAUCUGCCCUGGACUCUGGGAUAAGCCUGGGAAACUGGGUCUAAUACCGGAUAUGACCUUACAUCGCAUGGUGUUUGGUGGAAAGCUUUUGCGGUUCAGGAUGGACCCGCGGCCUAUCAGCUUGUUGGUGGGGUAAUGGCCUACCAAGGCGACGACGGGUAGCCGACCUGAGAGGGUGAUCGGCCACACUGGGACUGAGACACGGCCCAGACUCCUACGGGAGGCAGCAGUGGGGAAUAUUGCACAAUGGGCGCAAGCCUGAUGCAGCGACGCCGCGUGAGGGAUGACGGCCUUCGGGUUGUAAACCUCUUUCACCAGGGACGAAGCGUGAGUGACGGUACCUGGAGAAGAAGCACCGGCCAACUACGUG